AGUUUUAGGAGUUGAUCUAAGGUGUGUUCUGCUCAAUGAGUUUUUAAUAGCCGCGGUAAAUUGACUGUGCGAAGGUAGCAUAAUAAUUUGUUCAUUGAUUGUGAGCUGGGAUGAAAGGUUGAAUGAUCAAUUGACUUUUCUUAAAUAAUGGAUUGAAUUUAAUUUUUAGGUUAAAAAGCUUGAAUGGUUUAAGGGGACGAGAAGACCCUGUAGAAUUCAUAUUUACUAUUGAUUGUAAUUAGUUAAAUUAAUUAAGGGUAGUAGGUUUAGUUGGGGUGACUAUUAAAAGGAUCGAACUUUAAUUUAUAAAGGAUAAUUAUUUUUAUGGGUAGGUUGAUCUUGUGUUUUGAUUAAAAGGUAAAUUACCUCAGGGGUAACAGCGUAAUUUUUAUGGAAAGUUCUUAUUAAUAUAAAAGCUUGCGACCUCGAUGUUGAAUUAGGAGUUAAAUUUUGGUGAAGUAGCUUAAAAGUUAGGUCUGUUCGACCUUUAAAUUCUUACA
rnacentral:rRNA from 1 species